rnacentral:rRNA from 1 species
UACGAAGGGUGCAAACGUUGCUCGGAAUUAUUGGGCGUAAAGCGCACGUAGGCGGCCUCGCAAGUCCCAUGUGAAAGCCCACGGCUUAACCGUGGAAGUGCAUGGGAAACUGCAGUGCUUGAGUACUUAAGAGGAUCGCGGAAUUCCCGGUGUAGAGGUGAAAUUCGUAGAUAUCGGGAGGAACACCAGUGGCGAAGGCGGCGAUCUGGGAAGAUACUGACGCUGAGGUGCGAAAGCGUGGGGAGCAAACAGG